GAUCAGUGUGGUUUUGCCUUCGAGGAGGGGUGCCCAGUGGUGAUGCCCAGGAGAGGGAAUGGAAACCUGGAGCUGGGAGUGAGGUUAGAGCUGUAAGAUCCAAGACCCAGGGAGACAAGAGGACCCUGGGGACGAAUAGGAACAGCUGAGCAAGGGAUGCUGGAAUCGACCUUGGUCUCUAGUUCGACUCCCGUGCAACGUGUUGAGGAGGAGCCACCUCCUCCAAGCGCCUAAAGCCGACCCAGAAACGCCUCCCAAUCCCUCCACACCGCGGCUCCCGGGAUCCGAAGCUGGGGAGCUGCUUCUGUCCAAUCAGGCUUUGCAUCCCGGGACGCUUCCGGUUAUGGCGUCAUUAUGCAGCCAGGGAUGAGACAGGAGCCUAUCUGAUUGACAGGGACCCCACCUACUUUGGUCCUAUCCUCAACUACCUCCGCCACGGGAAACUCAUCAUCACUAAGGAGUUGGCAGAAGAAGGUGUGCUGGAGGAAGCGGAGUUUUACAACAUCGCGUCCCUUGUGCGGCUGGUUAAGGAAAGGAUACGGGACAAUGAGAACAGAACUUCACAAGGCCCCGUGAAGCACGUGUACAGAGUCCUGCAGUGUCAGGAAGAAGAGCUCACGCAGAUGGUGUCCACGAUGUCCGACGGCUGGAAAUUCGAACAGCUCAUCAGCAUCGGAUCUUCCUAUAACUACGGCAAUGAGGAUCAGGCAGAAUUCCUCUGUGUUGUCUCCAGAGAACUAAAUAAUUCUACCAAUGGCAUCGUCAUAGAGCCGAGCGAAAAGGCGAAGAUUCUUCAGGAGAGAGGAUCGCGGAUGUAAACUAAGACCCCGAAAACUCCAGACCUUCAGGAGAGCAGUCAGCAGAGCCCCUCUGUGAAGUGAAACCUCACUCCUGUCCAGUGACCGAGCCACUGCAAAGCACAGCUGAUCCUGGCCCCCUGUGAAGAAGUGUUCUGGUCAAAACUAAAGGAACUCCCUCCCCACCUGCAGGACUCCGAAGACAGUGCGACUUCUGGCUGCAGAAUACCUUUUCAGAAACCUGCUUUCAUUUGCUUAGCCAGUAUUAGAACAGAUCUUUACAACAGCAGCUGGGCUGGGUUCCCAGUCGGAGCCUUUCGGGGAUCUGGGGGAUGAGGGCGGAAGGCCUAGCUCCUUGGAAAUGGCCUGUACUUUAAGGACGCUGGAGCCAAGAGGAUUGUUCCCGUGCCGUGCCAUGGUUUCACCCUAUGUGUGCCACAAUGGACGUUAGCAGCUGCUUCGGAACACCGUCCCUCCUAUGCACCCUCCAAGACGUGCAGCAGAUGCAAAGGGUUCUAGCUGCAGUUUGUCGAAUUGAGGUUUUAGGUAAAGCAUAGAGUUGCCAGAGUACCCCGCAUUCCCAUGAAUAGAGCCUCCAAGGAAAGGGAGGAUGGGGUGUCCUUUGUUGUGGUUGGAGGUUGGUGAUCAUUGCUCUGGAUUUGGGGCUCCCGGCUGCCACCACAUGCAGCUUUGCCUCACCUUUCUCCAGCAGCCGGGACCCUCUGGAGAGCUUGUUUUCCCUCCAAGAAGAGGUUUGAGACAGGCGGCAUCCUGCACUGAGUCAGACAAGUGGGAGCUGUAGGAACUGCACCUGCAGCCUCUUCUUACUCCCCAUUGACCCUGUCUUCCUUCCCUGGCUUUUUCAACUGGACCAAAGAUGAAGGCACUUAUGGACCCUUUGAUGGCUUGGAGUGGGGAAGGCUGUUUCUUUGAAAGUUGCCAAAUGUGUUAUGUUGUGUCUCAGAGAGAGUUAUUUCUGUGACUCUCUUGGAAAUGCCUUGACUGAAUGUGCAAUAUUUGUGUCUCUUGGUUUCUAACCUUGGCGGACCUGCUCCCCUCUGUACUGUCCCCAGUGGUAUGUAUGUAUGUGCUAGGCAGUCUGGGGACCCCCUGUGUCUCUGACCACCCCCCUGACCCCCGCCAUUACUUUCUUUUCUGGAGUGCCAUGCUGGCGAGGAUCCGGAUGCGGCAGCACCCUCUUUCGGGCUGCAUCCACAGAGUUUGUGUCCACACUUUCUCUCCGAGCAUGUGGGUCUCGCUGAGCAGUCAUGGAAUGCGGUAGAGCCAGGGGACCCUGUCUGCCCCGAAUAACUUUCAGUAGUAUGGCAGAUGGCACAGAGAAAGGGAAGGGGCUCUGGGGACUUCUCCUUCUAUGAAAGCCUCCUCGAGCCAGGUGCUCCUGGGCACCUUCAGAAGUGAUGUCCUGUGUGCUCCACAGCUCACCUGCUUGCCAAGGUACGUCUGGGUAGUAGUUUCUGGAAAUGACUGCAGACUGUGCCAAAUGUCUUUUGAGCUUCUGACCUGACCAUGCCCAGAUGGCAUAACUUUUCCCUAGGACCCUCAGUCUCCUUGUUUCUCUGUAUCUGUAGCAUAGCAUAGAACCCGGUAUACAGGGGUUUCUGCUGACACAUCAACGUCUACACACCUAUGCGCCACAUUUUACAGCUGUAAAGUGUUAGAUGAACUGCCGUCCUCAGUAAAAGCAGCCACCCCUUCAAGAGUCACAGGCAUCCAUCCAGUCGUAUCUUUCAGAGAAAAAAAAAGUUAGAUGUAGCCAAGGAAAGUAGUGAUCACGGGAAGGACUGCUCUGAGCCGGGUAGGAUGGAGGACUUUGGAAGAGGCGCUCCUUGGCCAGGUCCAAUGAGUAACAUCAGACUGACAGAGGAAAAGCAGCUUGGUUUGCGGCCUUGUGCCCAGUCUCGUUGAGGCGCUUGUCCCUGUCUGCUUUCCUGGGGCAUGCCUGAUCAGCGUGGGCUGGAGCUCCUAGACCAACCCCAGCUUUCUCACCAGGUUCAGCAAGGAGGCCUGGGGGUCAGACACCAAUGUUGAGCACCUCCUGAGGGCGCCGUUUCCUUCAUUCCUCUUAGAUUCCAUAGUUGCCGCCAUGAAAAGACUGCUCUUGAGCCCCAAGGCACAGGCACGUGCUCUGGGAAAUAGACAGGAGUGGUAUUUCCGCCCUCUCGGAGGGCUGGUGUUCACCAAGUUUCCCUCCUCGCUGCAACCCAAUGACACCUGUAUUGUUCCAGCGCUCCAGGACUCUGGGUUCUUAAGAUUUCUGGGAGCGUUGUUCACCCACCCCCUUUAGGAACCAGGCUGGUGUUCUUGCUUGAAAGCGUUGUGCCCUCUGAGUGUCUGGCUGAUCACAUCAGAGAGGUCUGCGUGGCAGUUUGGGGCUGUCACGUGACCAGUGACCCACACUCUCUGCUGCCCAGUACUGCCAAGUGGGGAGGGUCCUGCCUUUUUCUCUGCCCCAGGUCUGGGACGCAGGUGAUGCCAGCCAGGCCCAGGAGUGCCCAGCAUCCCCCAACUGAUGACACAGUAGCACUGAUUCUGUCUUUUCCUCAGAAUCUGGCCUUUUUCCAUGGCAAUGAGGUGGGGCCCAGCCUCCUCUAAAGUGACUUUGUUUCUGCACAGUUGUAACUGCUCUUGGGGAUGUCAGUGAGGCUGGGAGCAGGGAGCCACGGGAUGCUGAGAGAGGAGGCCCGAGAGGACACCCCACCCUCCAGCGUGGCCUUUGAUCCAGACUUAGGGACGAGGCUGUCACUGGUGGGCACCCUCUGUUCCUGUUUGUGUGUUUGAAUAGUCUGAAAUGCUGUGACUUUUUUUGUGUGAAUAAAGAUAUGAAACUUCUGAAUCUCAA